rnacentral:rRNA from 1 species
UACAGAGGGGGCAAGCGUUGUUCGGAAUUACUGGGCGUAAGGGGCGCGUAGGCGGCCUGUUAAGUCAGACGUGAAAUCCCUCGGCUCAACCGGGGAACUGCGUCUGAUACUGGCGGGCUUGAAUUCGGGAGAGGGAUGUGGAAUUCCAGGUGUAGCAGUGAAAUGCGUAGAUAUCAGGAGGAACACCGAUGGCGAAGGCAGGUCUCUGGGCUGACACUGACGCUCAUGCACGAAAGCGUGGGGAGCAAACAGG